UACGGAGGAUGCGAGCGUUAUCCGGAUUUAUUGGGUUUAAAGGGUGCGUAGGCGGGACGCCAAGUCAGCGGUAAAAUGUCGGGGCUCAACCCCGUUGUGCCGUUGAAACUGGCGUUCUUGAGUGCAGUUGAGGCAGGCGGAAUUCGUGGUGUAGCGGUGAAAUGCUUAGAUAUCACGAAGAACUCCGAUUGCGAAGGCAGCAUACCGGUGCCGGACUGACGCUGAGGCACGAAAGCGUGGGGAUCAAACAGG
rnacentral:rRNA from 1 species